CACCCCUCAGGGCCUCACCUUACGUCCUCCCAGGCACUGGAGUGGCCCAGGGUCUCUGAGGACCCCGACCCAGCGCGCCGCUGGGAGUGAGACCGCCUGCCGGGCUUCGUGCCACCCCCACCCCGGACUGGGGCACUGGAGGGAAGGCAGUUCUGACAGUCUGCCCUCGAGUGUCCUGCCUGGCCUAAGUGUCCUGGGCCCCCAGGCCUGCUCUCCACACCACCUUUUCAGGCCCAGGAGGUGUAUCUGGGGGCCUGCAGGAGCCGCCCAGCACGGAUACUACCACCACCCUCCCAGGAGUCUGGUGAAGCCCCGAGCCAGCCGGCCUCCAACCAUCCCACUGCCCCAGGGAAGCCCGAGGUCAGCUCUGAGCCCCCAAGUUAACGGAUCACCCCAACAAACUAGGUUCCUUUUACAGGCGGGGAGGAAGCCAAGGGAAAGGUGUUUGCGGGGGGGCCCCACGGCUACCACGUGGGGGUGGGGAUUCUGCCCUAAGCCUCUCCGUUAACGCUGCUAACCCUCCGUCCCGGAGGGGAGGGGAAGCGGCAGGCCGGCUAGUGCCUCAGUGUCCUCGCCCAAGGGGCCGCGGAGCAGGAAGCACCUGGCCUGGAGCGGAUGCACAAGGCGCCUGGUUCCGGUCCGGCUUCCGCCACCGCGGCCCUGUGGGGAGCUCGGCCAGAGAAACCGGGCGGCGACGCGAGGCAGGGUAGGGGCUGGGUGACUGGAGGGCCCGCCUGUGUCUGGGUGCGCGCCAACCAGGGGGGCGGAGGCCCCACGAACACGAGCGCACGGCUGCCGCCCCGUGGCCGGCUCGGGAACUGCAGGCGCCAGCAAAGGGGCGGGGGGCUGAGCGCCUCUUGCUGCGAGACAGACCAUCCCGCUGGCCGACGGUCAGCUCCCACACCCCCAUACAGACAGAACACUCCAGAUGGCAAUACUGACAGCACUUCGGUCGGGCAGGGACAAACAAACCUCCAGAUGCGUAGCGCUUCCCCAGGGAGUGAAACAAAAAAAGAUGCACAGAGGAACGCAGGCUCCAGA